GGAGUUAGCCGGUGCUUCUUCUGCGAGUAACGUCACAGAUGUAAGGUAUUAACUUACACCCUUUCCUCCUCGCUGAAAGUGCUUUACAACCCGAAGGCCUUCUUCACACACGCGGCAUGGCUGCAUCAGGGUUUCCCCCAUUGUGCAAUAUUCCCCACUGCUGCCUCCCGUAGGAGUCUGGGCCGUGUCUCAGUCCCAGUGUGGCUGAUCAUCCUCUCAGACCAGCUAGGGAUCGUCGCCUAGGUGAGCCUUUACCUCACCUACUAGCUAAUCCCACCUGGGCUUAUCCAUCAGCGCAAGGCCCGAAGGUCCCCUGCUUUCCCCCGUAGGGCGUAUGCGGUAUUAGCAGUCGUUUCCAACUGUUAUCCCCCACAAAUGGGCAAAUUCCCAGGCAUUACUCACCCGUCCGCCGCUCGUCAUCUUCAAAGCAAGCUUUUGAAAUGUUACCGCUCGACUUGCAUGUGUUAGGCCUGCCGCCAGCGUUCAAUCUGAGCCAGAAUCAAACUCUGA
rnacentral:rRNA from 1 species